UGGGAGGCCAAUUCACACCUGUUACCACUGU
rnacentral:piRNA from 1 species